rnacentral:rRNA from 1 species
CAGUCGCCGCGGUAAUACGUAGGUGGCAAGCGUUGUCCGGAAUUAUUGGGCGUAAAGGGCUCGCAGGCGGUUCCUUAAGUCUGAUGUGAAAGCCCCCGGCUCAACCGGGGAGGGUCAUUGGAAACUGGGAAACUUGAGUGCAGAAGAGGAGAGUGGAAUUCCACGUGUAGCGGUGAAAUGCGUAGAGAUGUGGAGGAACACCAGUGGCGAAGGCGACUCUCUGGUCUGUAACUGACGCUGAGGAGCGAAAGCGUGGGGAGCGAACAGGAUUAGAUACCCGCGUAGUCCCUGUCUCUUAUAC